UACGAAGGGGGCUAGCGUUGUUCGGAAUCACUGGGCGUAAAGCGCACGUAGGCGGAUCUUUUAAGUCAGGGGUGAAAUCCCGAGGCUCAACCUCGGAACUGCCUUUGAUACUGAAGAUCUUGAGUUCGGGAGAGGUGAGUGGAACUGCGAGUGUAGAGGUGAAAUUCGUAGAUAUUCGGAAGAACACCAGUGGCGAAGGCGGCUCACUGGCCCGGUACUGACGCUGAGGUGCGAAAGCGUGGGGAGCAAACAGG
rnacentral:rRNA from 1 species